rnacentral:rRNA from 1 species
GCUUAACACAUGCAAGUCGAACGGGCGUAGCAAUACGUCAGUGGCAGACGGGUGAGUAACGCGUGGGAACAUACCUCUUGGUUCGGAACAACACAGGGAAACUUGUGCUAAUACCGGAUAAGCCCUUACGGGGAAAGAUUUAUCGCCGAGAGAUUGGCCCGCGUCUGAUUAGCUAGUUGGUGGGGUAAAGGCCUACCAAGGCGACGAUCAGUAGCUGGUCUGAGAGGAUGAUCAGCCACAUUGGGACUGAGACACGGCCCAAACUCCUACGGGAGGCAGCAGUGGGGAAUAUUGGACAAUGGGCGCAAGCCUGAUCCAGCCAUGCCGCGUGAGUGAUGAAGGCCCUAGGGUUGUAAAGCUCUUUUGUACGGGAAGAUAAUGACGGUACCGUAAGAAUAAGCCCCGGCUAACUUCGUGCCAGCAGCCGCGGUAAUACGAAGGGGGCUAGCGUUGCUCGGAAUCACUGGGCGUAAAGGGUGCGUAGGCGGGUUUUUAAGUCAGAGGUGAAAUCCUGGAGCUCAACUCCAGAACUGCCUUUGAUACUGAAAGUCUUGAGUAUGGGAGAGGUGAGUGGAACUGCGAGUGUAGAGGUGAAAUUCGUAGAUAUUCGCAAGAACACCAGUGGCGAAGGCGGCUCACUGGCCCAUAACUGACGCUGAGGCAC